GAAUGGGUGCAAUUUAGGGGCAACUUCAGGAUGGAGAGGCGCACUGGGGCUGGGGUGCGCUGACUUCUGUUACGGGAGUGAGCGGAGUGUCUUCUGCUCUCCUGGGACUGGCUGCGCUCGGGAGGUGGGUGCAUCCUGGCUGCGCAUCAGGGACAUUCAGAGCAGCUCCCUACUCUGACCUGGGACUCCAACCUGAGGGAGCAGGUGAUCCUCCCUACAGAGGCGCUGGGCUAGGAGUGUCCCUCUGUAGGAGCAGGUCCAUAGUGAUCGGGAAGGUGCCAAGGAAGAUGACCGAUAUUGAGAAAUGCCCUGGGUCCUACUUUGCUCAAUUCCCUCCGUUUUACUGGCAGCUCUUGUACAGGUGGCAGGGCCUCUUCUGGGCAGAGAAAAACAUGCUUAGGGCUUUUCUCCAUCCGAUUUUUUUUUAAGUCAUCUAUCUGUCCUGACAUGGAAAAAGGUUCAGGAAAUAGUAAGUGAAAGAUAAACUUUUAAAGUUGCCGAACAGAGUACAUAAUGUAAUGCCAUCUUUGGGGAGAAAAAUGGUUUAGUUCUCUGCAGUUGGACUAAUGUUUGGGAAGAAAAGCACUGGUCAAUCUUAUGGGAUAUCCAUGGAGAAGAAGAACUUACAUUCUUUAUUUUAUUCACUUCGAUAUUAUUUCAUCUGUUUAACACUUUAAAAUAUAUUUUCUCUAAGUAGAUCUCAUCUCUCUAAAAGUCUUUCACAGCUAUGAAACUAUGGGAUUUCUCUCUAUCUGACUCUCUGCUCAUCUCUGUGGACAAAACAAGGAAUAUAUAACCAUUACCCUCAAGAAGUGGAGAAGGGGGAGUGCGGAGUGCUUCAGGCAGCAGCCAACAUGAGCAGGAAGUGUUCCUAAGCAGAGAAGGGUAUUAUGGGUUCAAGAAAGUGUGCAGGGGACCCCUGUUUGGAGCACAAGGUGGCUCAGGGUGACCAGGACAAGAAAAUGUUUACAAGUAGCAUGGAGCCAGCUUGAAUGAUCUUGACUCCCAGGCUUAGAAAUUGUAUCUUUAUUUUGAAGGCAAUACGUGGGUGACAAAGAGAGCACCGAUAAUUUUAUGAAUCAGGUUAGUGGGGCUCCAUCCUGAGAGGCUAGUCAGCUGUAAGAGCAUGGAACCAAUCAGAUAAUUAGCAGUUUAAACACUGAAAGUGCAUAUUCUAGAAAUGAUUCUACUUGCAUUGAGAGUAACCUAAUGUAUUGAGGAUUUUACUAUUCUAUGAAUUAAAAGCAAGAUCCUUAUGAAAGAAACAAACAAUCUUUAGGACACAAUUUGCAAUCCUGAAUGAGUACUCUAUGAAAAUAGUCCAAUGUUCUGACCUCAUAUCCCUCUACGGCUACCUGAUUAGUUGCUAGGGAAGAGGAACAAUGAAAAUAUGAGAAACAUGGAAGGUUCUGGUGUCCUUGCAUCACGACAAAGUUAGCCCAGCUUCCCUGCUCUGACCCUGAGACUUCUGCCUCUAGUUUCCCUCGCUGCUCUUGGAUGUUUCCUUCAUUUUGACUCUUCACUGUGUGCUGGUGUGUUGCACACUGACAACUGUGUGCUCUUCCCUCUUCCAACAUCCAAGGCCCUGGCUAGCCUUAUCAGCCUCACCUCUCAUCUCUCUUAAGCACAUGAGUGUUCUUUCCCCCAGUUAGUGCUGAGUGGGGUGGCUGCUAUCUGCUGUGCUUGUGUCCUGGGGCCCUCACCUGACACCUAGGGUGAUAGGAAGCAGAUUAUUCCUCGCUGUGGGAAGAGAACAUCCCUUCUCUUACAUCUCAGUGCUUAUCAGCCGUGGGCAAACUACGGCCCGCGGGCCGGAUC